UACUCCUAGCCUAAAUUUUUAGUCUACUCUAUGCUGCCUUUAACCGGGUGCUUAGAGUGACUAGAACGUUUACUUUGAAAAAAUUAGAGUGCUUAAAGCAGGCGAAUUUGCCUGAAUAAGGUGCAUGGAAUAAUGGAAUAGGACCUCGGUUCUAUUUUGUUGGUUUUCGGAGCCUGAGGUAAUGAUUAAGAGGAACAGACGGGGGCAUUCGUAUUCCGGCGCUAGAGGUGAAAUUCUUGGACCGCCGGAAGACGGACGACUGCGAAAGCAUUUGCCAAGAAUGUUUUCAUUAAUCAAGAACGAAAGUUAGAGGUUCGAAGGCGAUCAGAUACCGCCCUAGUUCUAACCGUAAACGAUGACAACCAGCGAUUAGUCGGCGUUAAUAUAUGACCCGACUAGCAGCUUCCGGGAAACCAAAGUUUUUCGUUUCCGGGGGAAGUAUGGUUGCAAAGCUGAAACUUAAAGGAAUUGACGGAAGGGCACCACCAGGAGUGGAGCCUGCGGCUUAAUUUGACUCAACACGGGAAAACUCACCCGGCCCGGACACCGUAAGGAUUGACAGACUGAGAGCUCUUUCUUAAUUCGGUGGGUGGUGGUGCAUGGCCGUUCUUAGUUGGUGGAGCGAUUUGUCUGGUUAAUUCCGAUAACGAACGAGACUCUGGCCUAUUAAAUAGCCGGUAUAUAUUGAAAAGUUUACCGCGCUCUUAGAGGACAACCGGCUUCUAGCCGCGUGAAAUAGAGCAAUAACAGGUCUGUGAUGCCCUUAGAUGUCCGGGGCUGCACGCGGGAUACACUGAAAGAAUCAGUAUGCGCUUUCACCUAGUUCGGAAGAACCGGGUAACCCUAGCAAAUUCUUUCGUGCUUGGGAUAGGGAAUUGCAAUUAUUUCCCUUGAACGAGGAAUUCCCAGUAAAUGCGGGUCAUAAGCUCGCGUUGAUUACGUCCCUGCCCUUUGUACACACCGCCCGUCGCUACUACCGAUUGGAUGACUUAGUGAGGUCUUAGGACCGAGGUAAUGGAGCUUUUAUUAGUUCCCUUGCUUUGGAAAUUUGAUCAAACU
rnacentral:rRNA from 1 species